rnacentral:rRNA from 1 species
UACGUAGGUGACAAGCGUUGUCCGGAUUUACUGGGCGUAAAGAGCGCGCAGGCGGUCGAUCAAGUCGAGUGUGAAAGCCCCCGGCUCAACUGGGGAGGGUCAUUCGAUACUGAUCGACUCGAAGGCAGGAGAGGGUAGUGGAAUUCCCGGUGUAGUGGUGAAAUGCGUAGAUAUCGGGAGGAACACCAGUGGCGAAGGCGACUACCUGGCCUGUUCUUGACGCUGAUGCGCGAAAGCUAGGGGAGCAAACGGG